AUUGAACGCUGGCGGCAUGCCUUACACAUGCAAGUCGAACGGUAACAGGUCUUCGGAUGCUGACGAGUGGCGAACGGGUGAGUAAUACAUCGGAACGUGCCUAGUAGUGGGGGACAACUACUCGAAAGAGUGGCUAAUACCGCAUGAGAUCUACGGAUGAAAGCAGGGGAUCGCAAGACCUUGUGCUACUAGAGCGGCCGAUGGCAGAUUAGGUAGUUGGUGGGAUAAAAGCUUACCAAGCCGACGAUCUGUAGCUGGUCUGAGAGGACGAUCAGCCACACUAGGACUGAGACACGGCCCAGGCUCCUACGGGAGGCAGCAGUGGGGAAUUUUGGACAAUGGGCGCAAGCCUGAUCCAGCAAUGCCGCGUGCAGGAUAGAGGCGUUCGGGUUGUAAACUGCUUUUGUACGGAACGAAAAGCCCUGGGUUAAUACCCUGGGGUCAUGACGGUACCGUAAGAAUAAGCACCGGCUAACUACGUGCCAGCCGCCGCCGUAAAAC
rnacentral:rRNA from 1 species